UUGGAGGUUGCUGCAGAACAGAUCACUGGACCUCUUGAAGACACCGAUGAUAAUUACUCGUACGCAGCCUUCUAUCUCGGACACAUUAUAACAUGUCCACACCGGGAUCGGUGAACAGUCAAGAUAACAUGGUGUUCUACUAGGUGACUGAACAGUCAACAUAUAACGUGUGUGAUCCUUCCCCACCCUUUCCAUCUGCAGAAAACAUCCGGAGACUCCCUGUUUUGCGUCUACCCGUAGCAUGUUGACCGCUUCCUGGGUUAAACAAACAAAAUGGAUCUUCUACAUGCGACCAGCUAGAACUUUUUCUUCUGUUUUGAACACGUCAUCAGUGAACUAUCGUGACGACCCUGUCAAAGAUAGCAGGUAGGUUACGAGCAAGUAAUGCGAUCUUUUGUGCCCGUACAUCGUCGUGACGUAGACAGCAUAUGUUAAGGUCAGUUAAG
rnacentral:lncRNA from 1 species